UGCAGUCGAACGAGAAAUUCCCCGCUUGCGGGGAAGAGUAAAGUGGCGUACGGGUGAGUAACGCGUGGGCAACCUGCCCUUGAAUCCGGGAUAACCCCGUGAAAACGGGACUAAUACUGGAUAUUGCCCUGCGAACUGUGGUUCGUGGGGUGAAAGGUGACCUCUUCAUGAAAGUUGCCGUUCAAGGAGGGGCUCGCGUACCAUUAGCUUGUUGGUGGGGUAAUGGCCUACCAAGGCUACGAUGGUUAGCUGGUCUGAGAGGAUGAUCAGCCACACUGGAAUUGAAACACGGUCCAGACUCCUACGGGAGGCAGCAGUGAGGAAUUUUGCGCAAUGGGGGAAACCCUGACGCAGCAACGCCGCGUGAGUGAAGAAGGCCCUCGGGUCGUAAAGCUCUGUCAAGUGGGAAAAAAUACUUUCGAUUAAUAGUCGAGAGGACUGAUGGUACCACUGGAGGAAGCACCGGCUAACUCCGUGCCAGCAGCCGCGGUAAUACGGAGGGUGCAAGCGUUGUUCGGAAUUACUGGGCGUAAAGAGCGUGUAGGCGGUUUGGUAAGUCAGAUGUGAAAGCCCUGGGCUUAACCCAGGAAGUGCAUUUGAAACUGCCAUGCUUGAGUAUGGGAGAGGAGAGUGGAAUUCCCAGUGUAGAGGUGAAAUUUGUAGAUAUUGGGGAGGAACACCGGUGGCGAAGGCGACUCUCUGGACCAAUACUGACGCUGAGACGCGAAAGCGUGGGAGCAAACAGGAUUAGAUACCCUGGUAGUCCACGCCGUAAACGAUGAGAACCA
rnacentral:rRNA from 1 species